CCACUACAGGCAGAACCGCUAAUGACGGAGACCUUUCAGAAACGAUGGUUUCAGUCACCAGGUGAAGAACUCUGACCAGCUGAGCUGCUUGCUGAAGGCAAAGGGAAUACAGACUGGAUAGAAGAUAGUUACAAAUGGCAGCUACUACCACACAGAAUGAGUACUGCAACUGUCAUGAAUGCAGCCUGUGGGAGGUAAUUAGGUCAUGCGGGUGAGACACUCAUGAAUGGGAUUUAUGUCCUUAGAAGAAGCCAGAGAUCCAGCUAUCUCUCUUCCUAUCACUUGAGAAUACAAGAAAUCAACAGUCUGCUGUCCAGAAGAGAGCUCUCACCAAACCUGACCAUGCAGGCACCCUGAUCUCAGAAUUCCAGGCUCCAAAAACGGUGAGAAAUAAAUACCUGUGGUUUGUAA